GUGCCGUAAACUUGUGAGGAAAAUAAUGACUCAGGGUGACACCUGCAUUUCACUGCCAGAGUGAAACAAAUUUUGGAGCGGGUAAAGGCCAUCCCUAAGGUGACCCGUCCACCUUGCAGGCUACCUGGAGUAGUGAUCUGGGAGGAAAAAACCCC
rnacentral:snRNA from 1 species